rnacentral:rRNA from 1 species
GAUGAACGCUAGCGGCAGGCCUAAUACAUGCAAGUCGAACGAGAUUAAGAGGCUUUCUUCUUAUGAAAGUGGCGCACGGGUGCGUAACGCGUAUGCAACCUACCUUCAUCAGGGGGAUAGCCCGAAGAAAUUCGGAUUAAGACCGCAUAAAAACACAGUUUAGCAUUAUCCAAUGUUCAAAUAUUUAUAGGAUUAAGAUGGCCAUGCGUGUCAUUAGCUAGUUGGCGGGGUAACGCCCCACCAAGGCGACGAUGACGAGGGGAUCUGAGAGGAGGACCCCCCGCACCGGAACUGAGACACGGACCAGAAUCGUACGGAGGAGAGGGGAAAGGACAGCUAGUGGAGGGAGGGAACUCGGAACACGCCGCGCGAGGGACAGGAAUACAGCGCUCGGGAAAGUAAAUUACUUUUGUAGGGGAAAAAUCCUUGCUACGAGUAGGAAGCUGAAGGUACCUAAGGAGAAAGGCACGGCUAACUCCGUG